rnacentral:lncRNA from 1 species
UUUAAACAGAAGGCUCCAGGAGACAUACAAUCAACACUCCACUCAGACAAUGCCCAGACCUCCAGAAACCAUGUGUCAAGCUCGGAUUGCCUUAGACAGGUGCAAUUUAAGAACAGCUUUCAUCCUCUUUUCUCUCAUAUUGUCACACUAUGUGUUCUGACUUCUGGCUCCUUUCCUCACAAGAAGCUCACCCAGCUGGAACUCUUAUGGGACCUUGGCACCAGAGACCACAAAUUCCUCUUUGAAGUUUUCUAACAGCAACAAUGGUAUUUCUGACUUGGCUUUCUUGUAUUUCUCUCACGUUAACAAAAUUGGUUCAGCAUCUACCAUGGGCUACAUGCUGAGCUACAGGAACAAAACCCAUCAGAAGAUGUCAGAAGAUAAGGAUUUUUGUCCUGAUGCUACACUUACCAGCUGUCCCUCAGUGUUCUACUUCUUAAAAAAAGAGAGAUGGAUAAACAGAGGCAACCCGAGGAUAAAGGCCUUGCUCAGUGUCACACAUUUCAGUCACUAAAUAAGACACAAUGGAUGCCAGUAUUCUCAUCCCCUCACAAAUAAAGAGCCUUCAAGCUCUUGCAGUCAACAAGAACUUUUGGAAUGAUUUCACUGCCUGAAAAGGCAGAUACAUAGGUGACACCCACAAAUAGGAAGAAAAUCAACCUGAACCUGAGUGUGUGGGCUCACUGACUCUAAGCAGUAGAGACAGAAGAAAAAGUUUUAGCAAAGAAGGGUUCUGAAAGAAAAUAAAUAUAGCUCGUUAUCAAGUGCUGUUUUUACACAGUAAAACAUGGGCAAAAUUACUCUUCUUUAAGUAGUAAUUCUUAUCUCUUGAUUAAGUCACCUACUCAUUCAUUUAAUAAAUACAUACUGAUUGUUUUCUA